GGCCUUCCUAAAACUUGCAAGUCGAGCGAGGCCUUCGGGGCCUAUCGGCGGACGGGUGAGUAACACGUGGCUUACCUGCCUGUAAGACCGGGAUAACUUCGGGAAACCGAAGCUAAUACCGGAUAAUUUCGAGCAUCGCAUGAUGCUUGAUGGAAAGACGGUUUCGGCUGUCACUUACAGAUGGACCCGCGUCGCAUUAGCUAGUUGGUGAGGUAAUGGCUCACCAAGGCGACGAUCCGUAGCUGGUCUGAGAGGAUGAUCAGCCACACUGGGACUGAGACACGGCCCAGACUCCUACGGGAGGCAGCAGUGGGGAAUAUUGGACAAUGGGCGAAAGCCUGAUCCAGCCAUGCCGCGUGAGUGACGAAGGCCUUAGGGUUGUAAAGCUCUUUUGGCGGGGACGAUAAUGACGGUACCCGCAGAAUAAGCCCCGGCUAACUUCGUGCCAGCAGCCGCGGUA
rnacentral:rRNA from 1 species